rnacentral:rRNA from 1 species
AACGAACGCUGGCGGCAGGCCUAACACAUGCAAGUCGAGCGAGGACUUCGGUUCUAGCGGCGGACGGGUGAGUAACGCGUGGGAAUGUGCCCUUCUCUACGGAAUAGCCCUGGGAAACUGGGAGUAAUACCGUAUACGCCCUAUUGGGGAAAGACUUAUCGGAGAAGGAUCAGCCCGCGUUGGAUUAGGUAGUUGGUGGGGUAAUGGCCUACCAAGCCGACGAUCCAUAGCUGGUUUGAGAGGAUGAUCAGCCACACUGGGACUGAGACACGGCCCAGACUCCUACGGGAGGCAGCAGUGGGGAAUCUUAGACAAUGGGGGCAACCCUGAUCUAGCCAUGCCGCGUGAGUGAUGAAGGCCUUAGGGUUGUAAAGCUCUUUCAGCUGGGAAGAUAAUGACGGUACCAGCAGAAGAAGCCCCGGCUAACUCCGUG